UCCAACGCGUUGGGAGCUCUCCCAUAUGGUCGACCUGCAGGCGGCCGCGAAUUCACUAGUGAUUAGAGUUUGAUCAUGGCUCAGAUUGAACGCUGGCGGCAUGCCUUACACAUGCAAGUCGAACGGCAGCACGGGGGGUAACCCCUGGUGGCGAGUGGCGAACGGGUGAGUAAUAUAUCGGAACGUGCCCUGUAGCGGGGGAUAACCUAUCGAAAGAUGGACUAAUACCGCAUACGCUCUACGGAGGAAAGCGGGGGCCGCAAGGCCUCGCACUAUAGGAGCGGCCGAUAUCGGAUUAGCUAGUUGGCGGGGUAAAAGCCCACCAAGGCGACGAUCCGUAGCUGGUCUGAGAGGAUGAUCAGCCACACUGGAACUGAGACACGGUCCAGACUCCUACGGGAGGCAGCAG
rnacentral:rRNA from 1 species